AAGUUUUCUUAAGGACUUUAGAAUGAUUGAGCUUCCAAAUUUGCUAGAUAAAUUUGCUAAGUUGCUUGAACUUCUGGGUGAGGGAAAUGGAGAUCAUGCUGGUAAAGUAGUGAAAGUUCUACAGGAUAUGUUUGAAAUUAUAACCAAUGAUAUGAUGGUUGAUUCUUCCAGAAUAAUGGAAUGGCUAAGCUCUUUCCAGGACAUGGAUGAGGAUUCUCCUUAUUUUUGCAGACAUAUUGAGCCACAAUUAUUUGAAAAAUACGCUGGUGAGAUGUCCAUCCAGUUUCCCUUUCCAGACAAUGCACCAUUGGAAGAGCAGGUGAUGAAACUUGUAACAUUCACUGUCUGCCUUCCACUUAUUUAUAGGACCUUGUUCAUUAAGCAAAGACAAACAAAUAAUUAAACACAUAAAACACAGCCACCGACACCUGCAAUUGUGCGUAGAAAUUACACAUGUUAGUAACCAAACUUUUCCACAGCAGAUCGGGUGUCUUAUUUUGCUGCUUACUGUCAAAGAUGGUGCACUGGAUGUACCUACUAACAUAGAUGCUCGCCGGCGCAUAUCAUUCUUUUCUACUUCCCUAUUCAUGAAUAUGCCCACUGCUCCCAGAGUGCAAAAUAUGUUGUCGUUCAGAUGAAUGGAAAAACUUUUUGGAACAAAUGGAAUGUGCAAGUUUGGAAGUGUUGAAAGCUGAAGACAAGGAAGAAGAACUUAGAAGUUGGGCCUCUUUCUGGGGCCAAACUCUAAGCCGAACAGUUAGAGGGAUGUGUACUAUAGAGAGGCCUUAAAAUUGCAAGCAUUCCUUGACAUGGCUCAAGAUGAAGAUAUUCUUGGAGGUUAUGAUAUAGAGAACCAUGUAUUAUCCGCUCAACUAUAUUCACUGGAAGGUUGAGAGAACAUAUAUUCACUGGAAGGUUGCAUCCACUUAGCCAAUUACUAAUUGAAAAUAUUAUAGGCUUACAUAGCUACCAGCUCAGAUGCCAUAAGUAGGAAUAGGAUCUGGAAAUUCAAUGAGUAAGAUAUAACUAUAUAAGGAAUGUGUAAUGAUUGAAUAAAGACUACAUCAUAUGUCACUAAUUUUGACCACAUAGAAAUUGUAGGCAUUAAGUCUAAAUAACCAUGUACUAACAAGUUUAUAGUGUUUGGAAUUUGUUUUGUUUUUUUCUAAUUAGCUUGGUUUUAAAUAUUGUUGCUACUGCACUUAUGCAGCUAGCUGCUGCUGCUGCAGGGG